rnacentral:ncRNA from 2 species
GGGUUCAGAGAACGUUCUCUGGAGGGUAAGACAAGCUGGUCGGGCCGCCAUCU